rnacentral:lncRNA from 1 species
UUCAUUUCUGCUGGAAUAGGUUCUGCACAAUCCCAGUAUUCUCUCCUCUGCUGCACUGUCCUCUUUCAACUAUUCCUUCUCAUUCAUGCUGUUGGUUUGAUUCAUUAUGCUUGUUCUGUACAUUAAAGCCAUUUGUUAUGCUUAUCCGUACAUUAAAGCCAUUUGUUAUGCUUAUCCUUCCUUCAUCUGGAACAUGUAUUGGCUUUGCUGAUGAUUUCCCUUUUACUGCCUUCCAUCCUUCAUUGUUUUCUCCUACUAGCUAGCUUUCAACAUUUGUUGAGUUCCCUUUUCUUGCAGUUUUUCCUGUUUUUGCCCUGCUACCUCUUUUACUUGCCACACUUUCUUCUGUACAUUAGUCUUCAUUAUCUUGACAUUUUCCUACAGCCUUGUUUCAUUGCAACAAUGACCAAGCAUUAAGCAUUUGCCACAGUACUCAGGUUUCUAUAUAUACUCUACUCUUUGACAAAAUUUUCUACCAUUUGGACCCUGCACCUUAAUAGUUUCCGGUAAAGGAACCGUUACAUCCAUU